rnacentral:lncRNA from 1 species
GGACUUGGAACCAUGCUUCUCUAGAAAUCGAAAAGGAAAUGGCCGAACACUAUUGGGCCAUGGGCCAUUUGACCCUUCUCUUGAACCUUGGGCUUAACUAGCUAUUUAGCCGGAUAAUACAAAAAGCAUAAAAUUAAGGGAGCUUCUAUAGUGAGUGGGAAGUUAUAAGGGGUGUUUUUGAGGGGUAUGUAAGAGCCAUUGGAUUUCAUCCAACGGUGAGUUUUUAAAAGAGGGUGCAUGUAGAAUCGGGUUGAAAUCUAACCCGUUAGAAACUCAACUUCAGUUGUUCCCCUCUUUCCCUCUCUGUGAAAAACUGAAGAACACAAUCCUUUCUUUUUGAAUGUAAAGCAAACCCACAAUUAGAAGGAUCCAAAUCUCCCAAACCUUAUAGUCACUCCACUGUCAUUAGCUCGUUGGGAGGCCUGCGAUCUAUGGUAUCCUGGGUAUUACGAAGAAUGGCUCUUACCUAGCUGUUGCCCUGUUUUGAUUCUAUGGCUCAAGUGAAAACCCCUUCUCUUUUUCAUUCAGCUGACAAGAUUCCAGAUGAAAGCAAAGUAGCAUAUCUGUUUUUGUAGCUAGAAGCCGCAGCAGCAGUUGUUCCUCGAUUUUGGUAGAGAUGGAGUCUCAAAUACCAAAGAGUCUUCUCUAAUGUCCACCACAUU